AAACAAUUAAUAAGUGCUUCCCCUGGGUGGCCGACAUUUCGUAUAACCCAACACGUGGCAGAGAGAAUGGAAGCCAUCUUGUCUCCCGAACGUGGGCAGCAGUACUUGGUCGUCAUUUGCCUGGAAUUCUAUACGGCUAGGCACUCGCGCGAACACUGGUAAAUCUUAGACGGCUGCCCGUUCCAGUUCCCGACCACCUACAUGAAUGACGUUUGGGAGAUAUGAACUACCGAACAGGAUACAUUUGUAUCCUAAAAUAAAGAGAUUCCCUUCUCUGGUGUUCGCACAAGAAACCCACGAACAGAGCCCAUCCAGGACACCUAAUUUCCGGGAACUGUUUUGGGCUGGUGCCUCGUGCCUGGCCGGUCAAAACUUUACCAUGAUGGCAUUCCCGUUCUGUUGAGCCGAUCUGAGUGAUUCUUGGAUAUGCUGGACACUUAGAGCUAUCUGGGAAUGUACGUUUCAUCGGGUUCUGGGGUAUGGUUGAGGUACUUUUGGGGAUACACGAUAUUUUGUUGGAUUUUCUGUACCUGAGAGAUAAUUAAAUUAGAGGAGUUUUCUCAGGCAAUUAUCUUCCGGGGUAAAAUACAAAACAAAGGAAACAGCGCUAGAGAAACCAAUACUAAAAAAGGGGCAGCAAACCUAAGGUAGGGUUCCCUCUAAGCCAUACUUGUAUGAAUAAUACAGAAGGUAAAAGGAGAAAGGUUGUGCCAAAGACAAAAGUAGCUAUUUAGAAGUAUAUCUAAAAAAGAGUCCAAUAUUGAUGUCAAAUUCAAAACACAAAUAAUACCAAAAAGAGUCCUAGAGCAAGUCUUGCCAGGGGGAUAGCCAACAGUCUUAUGGGGAGAAUGUCAUCUGUAGAAGUUGGAUGAAAACAACUUGAGGGGUCUGUAUUGGGAAAC